UUCUCUCUUGGAAAUGCCAUCAGUGUUCCGUGAAGCCCCGGAUAUUGAUUAGUCCAAAAUCUGGGUUUACGCAAUCGAAAAGGUAAAACUUGGGUAUGUGCCUGGUACUCGGUACCCGGACGGAACUGUUCUCAAAGUGGAGAAUCCCCGUUGCUCCGAAAAUGGGACCGGCACAUAUACCUGUCAAAGCGGCCAAUGGGUUGUGAAUGUUAACUGCAAACCAGAUCGCUGUGUGUACAACACGUCCCGUUAGGACUUCAAACCGAACAUUACUGCGAACGGAAAAGACCAAACCACGGAUUACGUAAACUCGGGAACAUUCGUGCACGUAGAGUGCAUUGCACCAAAAGGUUUCCCAGGUUAUGUUCCUAAUGCACAGAUGCCAUUUGGGUUCCAGAAUUGCCGAAUUGCGACAAAGACUGUGGGGAAGACAUGUUCGAAUGCGAAGGCGGAGAAUGUCAUAAUAAGACAAUGCUGUGACACUUUUAUCCCGACUGUCUCGAUGGUAAUGACGAGGCGGCCGAAACAAUCCUAUUGCAUCAUAUUUAAACUUUAUCAUAUUUCAGAACAAUACUAACAGUGUCGGGACAUUGUCACCAAAUACAUUCUUUUUAUCACUCAAAUAUCAUUUUUGGGAUGCUUGAGGCCGAUUUACCUCGGCUAACUUUUUUUAACGUCCUAAUGCCGGGCUAAGCCUUUAUUUGUCAGUCAGCAUUCCGCCGAAACAUGACUGGCAUGUAUGUGCCCCGUGCCGGGAUCGAACCCAGGACCGCUGGAUUUCAACGCAAGCGCCUUAUCCACUGAGCUGCGGAGGCUUAAAACCCGAAACCAGAACAAUUAUUAAUCGGUAAAAACGACACAAAACAUAAACA